rnacentral:lncRNA from 1 species
AUGGUUUAGUUCCAAGUGGAGUGUACUCUUUAUGGUGGAGUAUGAUAAUUUAAUUUGUCGGUAUAGACAAUGAGAAUUAUGAUUGUCGGUGAAGACAAUGAUUGUCGGUAUAGACAAUGGAAGCAGAAGAUAAUGAUUGUUGGUAUAGACAAUGAAGAUUGAAGACCAUUACAAUCAAGGUGGAGAUUGUUGGGAUUGAUUGCAAUGUAAGUCCCACAUUGCUAAUGAAGAAAAAGAAGGAGGUUAAAAAAUAGCUAUUGAAAGUCCCACAUCGCUUAGAAUUGUGAAGCAAUGAGGGAAUCAA